rnacentral:misc_RNA from 1 species
GAUGAAGAACGUAGCGAAAUGCGAUACUUGGUGUGAAUUGCAGAAUCCCGUGAACCAUCGAGUCUUUGAACGCAAGUUGCGCCUCAAGCCAUUAGGUUGAGGGCACGUCUGCCUGGGCGUCACAUAUCGUUGCCUGAUGCCAGUUUCCUCGUGAUGGGUGACUGUGCAGGGCGAAUGAUGGCUUCCCGUGAGCAUUGUUGCCUCAUGGUUGGUUGAAAAUUGAGUCCUUGGUAGGGAGCGCCGUGAUAGAUGGUGGUUGAGUGACGAACGAGACCCAAUCAUGUGAGACCCCUACCGAAUUUGGCCUUCAUGACCCACAUGCGUCUUUGGAACGCUCAUGACCAGACCUCAGGUCAGGCGGGGCUACCCGCUGAGUUUAAGCAUAUCAAUAAGCGGAGGA